AUGGCCGAAUCUCGGCGUCCGCGUACACGCUCAUGCUGCUGCUUUGCUGAUGCUACUGCCGCUAUGUUGCUUGCUGAUGCUACUGCCGCUAUGAUGCUGUUGCUGUUGUGCCGUUGCUCCUCUGCCCGCGCUAGCUGCUACUGCUCCUUCUACCGCCGCGCCCCUGGCCGUCCGUGCCCGCCUACGCCUACACUGUCGCUCUACUGCCACUGUUUGCUGCUUGUAUUGCUGCUGGCUGCCCCUUGUGCCGUCGCUGCUGUUUGCCGCCGCCGCCUUCUGCGUCGCUCCUGUUGCUCCGCUACUGUCUGUCGAUGCUGCUGCUCGCUGCCGCCGCUGCUACGGCCGGCCAUGGCCGAGCUGUGA
rnacentral:rRNA from 1 species